UACGUAGGGUGCGAGCAUUAAUCGGAAUUACUGGGCGUAAAGCGUGCGCAGGCGGUUGUGCAAGACAGAUGUGAAAUCCCCGGGCUCAACCUGGGAACUGCAUUUGUGACUGCACGGCUGGAGUGCGGCAGAGGGGGAUGGAAUUCCGCGUGUAGCAGUGAAAUGCGUAGAUAUGCGGAGGAACACCGAUGGCGAAGGCAAUCCCCUGGGCCUGCACUGACGCUCAUGCACGAAAGCGUGGGGAGCAAACAGG
rnacentral:rRNA from 1 species